CCAGAAUCUUGCUGCAUCCAAGCUCCAGCUGGCUCACUUGGGAACUCUAGGACUUUGCAUAGACUUUCCCAAGUGUUGAGGAAGUCUCCAAAGGGUGCCUGAUCAAAGCUCUUGUGGGACUGCUGACUGCAAAACUCUUGACCUCUGCUCUGCUGCCAAUUCCCCAUCUGCCUCCAGAGCUGUCAAUCCUACUUCUUUUUCAAGAGUUCAUCAGUCUCUUGUGAAGUGGGAAGACUGUCAGGCCUCAGGAGAAUUGCUUGGAUCCAUGGAACAUUAUAGAACUUACUGCGCCUCCUGUUUCUCUGUGCAAACCUAAGACGCCCAGCCACCGUGUAACCCCAGGGUGCUCAUGUGCCUCCAGGAGAGCUGAGGGGAAAUGGUUCAUGUGCCAGCUGCUGUGACAUACCCAGAACCUGACUCUGCUUACACUCUGAAGGGCAUUCCAGCUGAUCGUGUCCGGUGAUCCAAAUUCAAAGGAAAAAAGAAGGACAUGUAUUUUGACUGAAGCGCUAACAAUCUUCAGUUAAGUGAAGAACCUUAAGUUUCUUGAUGUCAGAAAGAUGGGCUGCUUCUGGGGUCCAGCGGUUGGAUGGAGAGUCAGUGACCACAAGUGAUGCUGAGAGACUCCUCAGGAGGCAAGAGGCGUGUUUAAUCACAAAGAUGCAAACUGGAUUUUCAGGCUUGCCCAUGGAGCAUGGCAGUUUCUUGCCUAAUGCAGAUUUCUUAGGGCUCACCAGAUGCACGGAAACUCCUGGAUGCCCUGGAGGGGGAAGUUCAGCGUCGGGAGAAGGGACAACUGAUAAUUCUGCUUUACCUUCAAGUUGGGGCGUACGCAUGCGCGUUGAUGGAGUCAAGCUUCAUCUUAAUCCUCUUUAA
rnacentral:lncRNA from 1 species